ensembl:lncRNA
AGGGUGGGCCCAGUUUCCAGGAAGGGCUUGGGCAGGAGGCCAGGCAGGAAGGGGCUGGGAGUUUCUGGAAGGGCAGCCUGGAGAGCCCUGGCAGGCUAGCCCAGGGCCUCACUCCACAGCCCAGCUGGCCCGCCCUUUCAGAGAUGGGGAAUCCUUGGCACUUCCUGGCACAUGCCAGGGCACCAGGGGAGGGAGGGCAGGAGGGUUCCCAGGCCCAGAACAGGGACGGAGGCGGUGGGCCACUCUUCAGGGGGCCUCCAGGAGGGGUGAGCGUGGACAGAGAGGAGAAGGUGGGUGGACUUGGAGGGGCAGUGACUGAAGGCACUCAGGUUUCACUGGGGGCCUGCCCCCCCCCCCCCCCGACUGCUGUGGGCUGGGGAGGGAGUCGUCCCACAGAAGGCACACGCUUUCAGCCAGGAGGGCACUUGGAGUAGGAGGGGACAGAGAGGAGGGCUUUAACUGGCGAUGUCAGGUUGGAAAGAUCCGCAGGUAGAGAACCCUGCUGAUGGGGGGGAAGCAGCUGCUAUGUGGGAGCCCCUUUCUCAGACUUCAGUGGCCCCCAUGACGUCUAGCCCAGGAGGCACCUCCUCCCUAUCUUAGGUUAUAGGACAGAGAUGGAAAAUAAGAGCAGUGUAAACAAUGUGGAAGUGCAUUUCUCUCUCACUACUCGUCUGGGCAUCAGCCUUUCGGGGCUGAUAUGAUGGCUCCAGGGGUUGGAAACCCAGGCUCUCUCUGCCUUGUUGCUCCAUUGUCCCCGUGUGGUCCAGGAUGGCCCAUCCGCGCGCCCGCCUCCCAGGCAGCAGGAUGGAGCAGGACAGAUGGUUCAGAGCCUACCCCACGGCUGCGCCUAAGUGAAGGGAUGUGGUCCCGUGCCUCAUUGCCAGUUCUAGGACCACAGAAAGAGAGGAGAGCAGGUAUCGGGGCAGCUGGCAGUCUACCCCACGCACCUCCAACACUCGAGCUCACCCAGGAGCCAAACUUCUCCCACUGCUGUGCCCCAAACGAGAACUUUGCUGAGUCCUGAGAGGAAGCGAGCACGGGGUCAUGGCUACAGGGACACGUGCAUGCUGCAGAACUAGUCCAGGGUCCACAGCACAGGCCAGUCGGCCCAAGCAAGGAAACAACUCCCCAGCAACCCCAUCAUACGGCCUUUGGCCUCUUGUCCCCUGGCUGGCUCCCCCUAUGCCAGCCUCAUGCACAAGGACCCUCUGAUACAGGCCCUCGCAACCUGUCUCCUCUUAGCAUCUGAGGCUAAGUGGGUCAUUUAGCCAGUCGUUCAUCCAUCCCUUCAUUCAACAAACAUUUCUUGGGCGCCUCUCAAGCCCCAGUUUGCAUUCAGCAGUCCUGCCACCUCUAGAGCCUGUGCUCCGGGUUGGUCCUGCCCCUCCACUCCACCCCGCAGGGACUGGUUUAGGGUAGAAAUGCCAGCCCAGCUCGUCCAAUUGGAGCAAAUAUCAGGACUUUGGCAGACAGCGCCUGAAGAAAGAUUUGAACCUGGGAGAACAAGGGCCCUGGAGUGGCUGGGGGCCAUUCGUUACGUUGGGGGGAAGCUUUCCUGAGAGCGGACCCGGUGGAGCAGGAAACAGAUCCAAGAGAUGGGGAGAGACCUGCUCCCGUGAUGUUUGAGCCCCUUGAAACAAGUGCUAACCCCCAACCGGAAUUCCUACGCAAGGCAGAGAUAAGGCCGGAGGACGACCAGGUCUGAGUGAGUGGGAGGAGCGUGGAAGAGCAAGAAUGUGGCGGGGCAGGC